rnacentral:rRNA from 1 species
CAAUGAGCGAAAGCUUGAUGCAGCAACGCCGCGUGCGCGAUGACGGCCUUCGGGUUGUAAAGCGCUUUUCGGGGAGAUGAGGAAGGACAGUAUCCCCGGAAUAAGUCUCGGCUCACUACGUGCCAGCAGCCGCGGUAACACGUAGGAGGCACGCGUUAUCCGAAUUUACUGGGCGUAAAGCGCGUGCAGGCGGUUCGGUAAGUUGGAUGUGAAAUCUCCCGGCUCAACUGGGAGGGGACGUUCAAUACUGUCGGACUUGAGGACGAUAGAGGGAGGUGGAAGUCCCGGUGUAGUGGUGAAAUGCGUAGAUAUCGGGAGGAACACCAGUGGCGAAAGCGGACUCCUGGAUCGUUCCUGACGCUCAGACGCGAAAGCUAGGGGAGCGAACGG